rnacentral:rRNA from 1 species
UACAGAGGUGGCAAGCGUUGUUCGGAAUUACUGGGCGUAAAGGGCGCGUAGGCGGCCUACUAAGUCAGACGUGAAAUCCCCGGGCUCAACCUGGGAACUGCAUCUGUGACUGCAUUGCUGGAGUGCGGCAGAGGGGGAUGGAAUUCCGCGUGUAGCAGUGAAAUGCGUAGAUAUGCGGAGGAACACCGAUGGCGAAGGCAAUCCCCUGGGCCUGCACUGACGCUCAUGCACGAAAGCGUGGGGAGCAAACAGG